rnacentral:lncRNA from 1 species
UCUUCUGUACCGCCGUAUUCAAUCUUCAUCAGAUUUGCAAUCUAAUUCAACUGGUUAUAGGGUUCAAUAAUUAAUAAGCCUAUUACUAGGGAAUGCAGAUCCAAAAUCCGCCUCACUUUUAUCUUUUAACCCUUUUUCGCUUCCUCUUCUAUCUGUUUCUUUCUCUUUCCAAAACACCACCACCAUCUGUGAUUCUUUAGGGUUUGCAAUUUGGUGCUUUAUGAAUUUCUUUGUGCAAAGGGGAGUAAAUAAAGAGACGCAAUCAUUUGAAAAUCCAGUUUGAUUUGGGUUCUUCUCAAGAGUUACAAAGAUGCUUAUAUUGACAGUGGUUCUUGAAGUUCUUGGUUUAUGUUGGAUGUCGCCAAGGGGGAGGAGAUUCUUGGUCGAAUCAAACAGAAUAUGUUUUCUAUAGAUUGUGGAUGAUUGGGUGAAACAACUUAUUCGUAUCUCGGUGUACAAAAAUAAGAUGGUUGAAGAUGAAUAUGUGGUCGGUCAUAUAUACUUUUGGUUCACAUGAGCUUGGGUUCAUGGUCCUAGGGUAGAUAUUGACACCUUAUGUGUGGGGCCUUCUUAUGUGAAUCGAGAUGAGGAUUUUUUUCUUUGUUUUGCACGGCAUAUUAGUCCCCACAAAACACCUUCACUGAGCGGCAAAACAGGGAUGGCGGCACCUUCACCGAGCGGCAAACCCUCACCCUGCACACUUUCCCCGCUCCACCACGUUCACCCUUAAGUGGAAUGGAGGAAGUUAUUGAACUUCAACUACUUCCAGAUGCUCAUGCUCCAGUCAUGAAGUUCAAGUUUGAUGGAAUAAAUCUCAAAUUAUAGAAUAUAGAUACAAUAUUGGUGGCAUGAUACCUCAAGGCAACACGUGACAUUAGGGGAAACCAACCUGGUGAUUAGAGAAUUUUGCUGGAAAUUUCAGGAUUUUACCGGAAUGUUGUCGAAAUCUAACCAAAAUCCGACUGAAAUCUCGUUUGAAGGUCGCCAGGGAUGAAAUCUAAAACUAGGAAACAACCUUAACACACCAUCUUUUAAAGAAUUCAGUUUCUCCAUAUCCCAAUAAGUCGUUCAACAACAAUUUUCUUUGAAACACAAGAGUUGAUUAAUAAAAUGGAAAUGAAAAUAGUUUCAGUAAUAUGGGAAAAUGUUUAAGAAUCCAUAUUGAAAACGAUGAAACUGUGAUUACUAGGGCUAUUCUCAACAUGCCCAUCACAAGAGCCAGCAUCAUCCGUGAUCCCACUUGAACCAGAAGAAACCUGUAUCAGGUUUGGAGCUGCCUACAUUGGUUGCAGGGUAUGAGAAGAAGCCGAUAUCACAGCUUUGAUCGUCCAUUCAUUUGAAGAAACAUAACAGAAUGAAGGAGGUGAAGUAGUUACCAUUCAUAAAGCUAGCGAGUUGGAAACAAGAUUGACCACUUCAUCAAAGUUGAACAAACUAGCCAUUUUUACAUGGUGAACUCGGUCACCUGGGCGAUUAACAAGCACCUCUCCUCAAAGUCCCACCAAGUUUUUUCAAACUUUGCUAUAUCCCUUAGUGUAACCGUAUUAACUUGUACAUCAUGUUUUAAAUAUGGCGUAUUUGUUUGAAUGACAAAUCUUUUGUUUUUU